rnacentral:rRNA from 1 species
UACAGAGGUCUCAAGCGUUGUUCGGAAUCACUGGGCGUAAAGGGUGCGUAGGCGGCGCAGCAAGUCAGAUGUGAAAUCCGGGGGCUCAACCCCCGAACUGCAUCCGAUACUGCUGUGCUCGAGAUCUGGAGGGGGACUUGGAAUUCUCGGUGUAGCAGUGAAAUGCGUAGAUAUCGAGAAGAACGCUCGUGGCGAAAGCGAAGUCCUGGACAGAAUCUGACGCUGAGGCACGAAGGCCAGGGGAGCAAACGGG